rnacentral:rRNA from 1 species
GAUGAACGCUGGCGGCGUGCCUAAUACAUGCAAGUCGAGCGAACGGACGAGAAGCUUGCUUCUCUGAUGUUAGCGGCGGACGGGUGAGUAACACGUGGAUAACCUACCUAUAAGACUGGGAUAACUUCGGGAAACCGGAGCUAAUACCGGAUAAUAUUUUGAACCGCAUGGUUCAAAAGUGAAAGACGGUCUUGCUGUCACUUAUAGAUGGAUCCGCGCUGCAUUAGCUAGUUGGUAAGGUAACGGCUUACCAAGGCAACGAUGCAUAGCCGACCUGAGAGGGUGAUCGGCCACACUGGAACUGAGACACGGUCCAGACUCCUACGGGAGGCAGCAGUAGGGAAUCUUCCGCAAUGGGCGAAAGCCUGACGGAGCAACGCCGCGUGAGUGAUGAAGGUCUUCGGAUCGUAAAACUCUGUUAUUAGGGAAGAACAUAUGUGUAAGUAACUGUGCACAUCUUGACGGUACCUAAUCAGAAAGCCACGGCUAACUACGUGCCAGCAGCCGCGGCAAUACGUAGGUGGCAAGCGUUAUCCGGAAUUAUUGGGCGUAAAGCGCGCGUAGGCGGUUUUUUAAGUCUGAUGUGAAAGCCCACGGCUCAACCGUGGAGGGUCAUUGGAAACUGGAAAACUUGAGUGCAGAAGAGGAAAGUGGAAUUCCAUGUGUAGCGGUGAAAUGCGCAGAGAUAUGGAGGAACACCAGUGGCGAAGGCGACUUUCUGGUCUGUAACUGACGCUGAUGUGCAAAAGCGUGGGGAUCAAACAGGAUUAGAUACCCUGGUAGUCCACGCCGUAAACGAUGAGUGCUAAGUGUUAGGGGGUUUCCGCCCCUUAGUGCUGCAGCUAACGCAUUAAGCACUCCGCCUGGGGAGUACGACCGCAAGGUUGAAACUCAAAGGAAUUGACGGGGACCCGCACAAGCGGUGGAGCAUGUGGUUUAAUUCGAAGCAACGCGAAGAACCUUACCAAAUCUUGACAUCCUUUGACAACUCUAGAGAUAGAGCUUUCCCCUUCGGGGGACAAAGUGACAGGUGGUGCAUGGUUGUCGUCAGCUCGUGUCGUGAGAUGUUGGGUUAAGUCCCGCAACGAGCGCAACCCUUAAGCUUAGUUGCCAUCAUUAAGUUGGGCACUCUAAGUUGACUGCCGGUGACAAACCGGAGGAAGGUGGGGAUGACGUCAAAUCAUCAUGCCCCUUAUGAUUUGGGCUACACACGUGCUACAAUGGACAAUACAAAGGGCAGCGAAACCGCGAGGUCAAGCAAAUCCCAUAAAGUUGUUCUCAGUUCGGAUUGUAGUCUGCAACUCGACUACAUGAAGCUGGAAUCGCUAGUAAUCGUAGAUCAGCAUGCUACGGUGAAUACGCCCCCGGGUCU